rnacentral:rRNA from 1 species
CGUAGGGUGCAAGCGUUAAUCGGAAUUACUGGGCGUAAAGCGUACGCAGGCGGCUUUGCAAGACAGGUGUGAAAUCCCCGGGCCUAACCUGGGAACUGCAUUUGUGACUGCAUGGCUAGAGUUUGUCAGAGGGGGUGGAAUUCCACGUGUAGCAGUGAAAUGCGUAGAUAUGUGGAGGAACACCGAUGGCGAAGGCAGCCCCCUGGGAUGUGACUGACGCUCAUGUACGAAAGCGUGGGAGCAAACAGGAUU